rnacentral:lncRNA from 1 species
GGUGUGGGGGCCGAGGGGUAGGCAGCUGCUGCUCAAAAGCAGAGACAGGCCACAUGGCUGAAGACAGAUCCUGGCUUCCUGUCAGACAGCUGCCUGCAAAUAAUAACCUGCAAUUUCCUGGGAGGGGCAGACAGGUAUUGCUCCAUGCACACAUGAAUUCACUAAGAAUCGAAGCAGAAAGCUCCUGUGAUGAGAACCUGCUCAGUUAAAGUCACCCUAGUGCGGGACCUUUAAGACUGCCUGUUGCAGAAGAACUCUACUGAGAUGAAGAUGCGAAGUAACUAUCUAGUACAUUCCACUGCUGAAACAAUGGUACAACCCUGGGCAUAAUCCAUUCUGAAAUAAGGUGCAACAUAAAUGAAGAAAAAAAGUACGUAAUGUUAGCUACAUAUUAGUACAUAUCAUUCUCUGUAUUUGCUGGUUCCACAUCCAUGGAUCAAAAUCUGUAGAUACCGAGAACCGACUGUAUCUAUUUUCCAUCCAUGGUUGGUGGAACCCACAGACUGGGUUGCAGGGGUCUGACUGUACUGUGCCAUUUUAUGUAAAGGACUUGAGCAUCAGAGGAUUUGGUGUCUGCAGGGGUCCUAGAACCAAUCUUCCACAGUUAGGGAGGGCCGAAUGUAUAUUUAGCAUUUACAUGUGCAGUGUAUUUUCAGAAUGGUUUGCAAGUACUCUGAAUUCAGGAACUCAAUAUGUGUGAUGCACACCCAUAUUCAAAUUUUUCUGUAAUAGGAUUUGCUGAAAGGGGGAGAAAAGAUUGGAUUAUUCACAAAAAGCUGUUAGAAAGAAAGAAAUGAUAUUGUACUCCAACACCACACCAUACACAGAAAUAUAUUCUAAGUGGAUUAAGAAGUUAAAUCUAAAAGAAAAAGUACAGUCAUGCACUGAAAAUGAUGUUGCAGAUAACAAUGGUGAUUAUAAUGGAGAUUAUAAUGAAGGUGAAAAAUUCCUCUCACUGAGUGACGUGUGGCCAUCAUCAAGUUGUAGCACAACAUUACUCACAUGUUUGGGGUGAUGCUGGUAUAAACAAACCUGUGUUGCCAGUUGUAUAAAGGCAUAGCACAUACAACAAUGUACACUAUGUAACACUUGAUAAUAAACAACUGUGUUACUGAUUUUUGUAUUUACUAUACUAUACUUUUUAUCAUUAGUUUAGCGUGUACUCCUUCUCCUUAUAUAAAAAAAAGUUAACUGUGAAACAGCCUCAGGCGGGUCCUCCAGGAGGUAUUCCAGAAGAAGACAUUCUUAUCAUCAGAGAUGACAGCUCCAUGCAUAUUAUUGCCCCGAAGACCUACCAGUGGAACAAGAUGUGGAGGUGGAAGACAGUGAUGUUGAUUAUCCUGACCCUGUGUAGGCAUGGGCUAAUGUGUGUACUGGUGUCUUAGUUUUUAACAAAAAAAGCUUAAAAAGUAAAAAAAAAAAAAAUUAUAGAAUAAGGAUAUAAAGAAAGAAAAUAGUUCCAUAUAGCUAGCUGUACAAUGUAUUUGUGUUUUAAGCUAAAUAUUGUUAAAAAAAAAAAAGGGUCAAAAAGUUAAAAAAAUUCAAAAACUUAGGCUUUUGUGUUUAUGUGCAGUGUUUAUAAAGUUUGCAGUGGUGUGAUUUCUUGGCCUUCCCAUUCACUCACCACUCACUCACUGACUCACCCAGAGUAAUUACUAGCCCUGUAAGCUUCAUUCAUGGUAAGUGCCCUAUAUAGGUGCACUGUUUUUAAAUCUUUUGCAUCAUAUUUUGACUGUACUUUUUCUAUGUUUAGAUGUGUUUAGAUACACAAAUCCUUACCGUUGUGUUACAAUUGCCUAGUAUUCAGUACAAUAACAUGCUGUAUAGGUUUAUAGCCUAGGAGCUAUAGGCUAGACCAUAAAGCCUAAGUAUGUAGUAGGCUGCGCCAUCUAGGUUUGUGUAAAUACACUCCAUGAUGGUUGCACAAAAAUAAAAUUGCCUAAUGGUGCAUUUCUUAGACUGUAUCCCCAUUGUUAAGGGACUCAUGACUGUAUAAAGGUAUUAGAAUAAAACACAAGAUAGUUUCUUUUAAAAAAAUUUUGGAUGAAGGAGCUUAGCAACAUUGCAAGAGACAAGGUCAAUAUACAAAAAUUAACCACAUUUUUACACACUAGCAAUGAAAAACUGAAAAAUUGAAAUUUUAAAGAGUACCAUUUUUAAUAGCACCAAAAUGUGGAUACUUAGGUGCAAAUUUUACAAAGUAUAUUCCAGUAUGCUGAAAACUACAAAAAAACUGAUGAUAGAAAUUAAAGAAGUCUCCUAAAUAGAAAUGUACUGUGUUCAUGAAUUAGAAGACUCAGCAUAGUUUAGAUAUCAGUUAUCUUCAAGUUGAUCUGUAUAUUCAGUGCCAUUCAAAUCGACACCCCAGCAGGCUUUUUGUAGACAUUGACAAACUAUUCUAAAAUGUAUAUAGAAAUGCAGAGGAACUAGAAGAGCCAAAACAAUUUUGAAAAAGAACAGGGUUAGAGGACCGACACUACUGGAUUUCAAGGCUUAUUAUAAAGCUACGGUGAUAAACAGUGUGAUAUUUGUCAAAAGUAAACAUGAAGAUCAAUAAGACAGAAUAUAAAGUCCAAAAAUGGACCCGCAGAUAUAUGCUUGAUUGAUUUUCAACAAAAUUGCAAAGGAAAUUUAAUAGAAUAGGCAUUGCCUUUUCAGCAAAUGAUGUGGGAGCAAUUGGACAUCUACAUGCAAACAGACAAAAAUCCCUGAUCCAUAUCUCACACCAUAAACAAAAACCAACUCAAAAUUGAUCAUAGAUCUAAAUGUAAACCCCAAAACUAUAAAGCUGUAGCGGAAAAUAGAGGAUAAAAUCUUUGUGAAUGUGGGUUAGGCAAAGAUUUCUUAAAUAUACCACCAAAAGCAAGAUUCAUAAAAGAAGAAUAAUAAAUUAGACUUUAUUAAAAUUAAGAACUUCUGCUCUUUGGAAACAUUGUUUAAGGUAAUUGGAAGACAAGCUAUAGACUGGUAAAGAAUAUUUGCAAAUCACAUAGCUGAUAGAGUUACUGCAUAUAUUCAGAACUCUUAAAAUUCAACAAUAAGAUAACAAACAACCCAAUUAAAAAUGAACAAAGAAGUGAAUGGACAUUUUACCAACAAGAUAUAUAGAUAGCAAGUAAGCAUAUAUCAUUAGAAAAAUGCAAAUUAAAAUCAUGAGAUAUCCCUACACAACAAUUAGAAUGGCAAAAGAAAAAGAAAGUAGAGAGAAAGAAAGAAUUUUAAAAAAGGAAGGAAGGAGAGAAGGAAAGAAUGAAGAAAGGAAGGAAGGGAGGGAGGAAGGAAGGAAGGAAGGAAGGAAGGAAGAAAAAACAUCAUUAAUAACAAGGAAAAAGAAACAUUAUUAAUAACAAUGUGGAGAAACAGAAACUCGUAUUUUGCUCGUGCAAAUGCAAAAUGAUGUAGCCAUUUUGGAAAGCAUUUUGACAGUUUCUUACAAAGUUUAAUAAAGUUUUCAUAUGACCCAGCAAUAUCACUCACAGGUAUUUACCCAAGUGAACUGAAAACUAUGUUGACACAAAAACCUGUACAUGAAUGUGUAUUUAUAAUCAUCAAAAACUGGAAAGAACACACAAAUUCUUCAAUGAGUAAAUGAAUAAACACGCUGUAAUACUUCCAACUCAGUAAAUAAAAAAGAAUGAAGUAUUGAUUCACAUAACAACAUGAAUGUAUUUCAAAUGCUUUAUGCUACAUUACAGAAGACAUACUUGAAAGGUCAUAUAUUCUAUAAUUCAAUUUAUAUGACCACUUAGAAAAGGCAAAACUGUAUAAAUAGAAAACAUAUCAAUGGUUGCCAGGGGCCAUAUGUGUGAGAAAGGUUGACUACAAGGUGACAUAUGUGUAUUUUUAUUUUUGGGGAACUGGUUUUUUUUUUAAUCUUAAUUGUG